CAGGCAUUACACAUGCAAAUCGAGCGGUGGCAAGCAAUGUCAUAACUGGCGACCCGGUCCGUAACACGUAACUAACCUACCCACAACUGGGGUUACCCCCUCGAAAGCCCGAUUAAUACCCCAUAAUACAAUAGAACGGCAUCGCUUAGUUGUUAAAGAUUUAUUGCUUUUGGAUAGGAUUGCGGGUCAUUAGCUAGUUGGUUGGGUAACGGCUGACCAAGGCGACGAUGACUACGGGAGAUGAGAGGCUGGUCCCCCACACGGGCACUGAGAUACGGGCCCGACUCCUACGGGAGGCAGCAGUAGGGAAUAUUGGGCAAUGGGCGAGAGCCUGACCCAGCCAUGCCGCGUGCAGGAAGAAGGCUUUCUGAGUCGUAAACUGCUUUUGACAGGGAAGAAUAAGCUGUACGUGUACAGUGAUGACGGUACCUGCAGAAUAAGCACCGGCUAACUCCGUGCCAGCAGCCGCGGUAAU
rnacentral:rRNA from 1 species